GGGUGAGUAAUGCAUCGGAACGUGCCAUUGAGUGGGGGAUAACGUAGCGAAAGUUGCGCUAAUACCGCAUAUUCUGUGAGCAGGAAAGCAGGGGACCGCAAGGCCUUGCGCUCUUUGAGCGGCCGAUGUCAGAUUAGCUAGUUGGUGAGGUAAAGGCUUACCAAGGCGACGAUCUGUAGCGGGUCUGAGAGGAUGAUCCGCCACACUGGAACUGAGACACGGUCCAGACUCCUACGGGAGGCAGCAGUGGGGAAUUUUGGACAAUGGGGGCAACCCUGAUCCAGCCAUGCCGCGUGAGUGAAGAGGGCCUUCGGGUUGUAAAGCUCUUUCGGCCGGGAAGAAAUCGCAUGGGCCAAUACCCUGUGUGGAUGACGGUACCGGAAUAAGAAGCACCGGCUAACUACGUGCCAGCAGCCGCGGUAAUACGUAGGGUGCGAGCGUUAAUCGGAAUUACUGGGCGUAAAGCGUGCGCAGGCGGUUUUAAGACAGGCGUGAAAUCCCCGGGCUUAACCUGGGAACUGCGUUUGUGACUGCAAGGCUAGAGUACGGCAGAGGGGGGUGGAAUUCCACGUGUAGCAGUGAAAUGCGUAGAGAUGUGGAGGAACACCAAUGGCGAAGGCAGCCCCCUGGGUCGAUACUGACGCUCAUGCACGAAAGCGUGGGUAGCAAACAGGAUUAGAUACCCUGGUAGUCCACGCCCUAAACUAUGUCAACUAGGUGUUGGGUGGGUAAAACCAUUUAGUACCGUAGCUAACGCGUGAAGUUGACCGCCUGGGGAGUACGGCCGCAAGGUUAAAACUCAAAGGAAUUGACGGGGACCCGCACAAGCGGUGGAUGAUGUGGAUUAAUUCGAUGCAACGCGAAAAACCUUACCUACCCUUGACAUGCCAGGAACUUGCCAGAGAUGGCUUGGUGCCCGAAAGGGAGCCUGGACACAGGUGCUGCAUGGCUGUCGUCAGCUCGUGUCGUGAGAUGUUGGGUUAAGUCCCGCAACGAGCGCAACCCUUGUCGUUAAUUGCCAUCAUUUAGUUGGGCACUUUAACGAGACUGCCGGUGACAAACCGGAGGAAGGUGGGGAUGACGUCAAGUCCUCAUGGCCCUUAUGGGUAGGGCUUCACACGUCAUACAAUGGUCGGUACAAAGGGUUGCCAAGCCGCGAGGCGGAGCCAAUCCCAGAAAGCCGAUCGUAGUCCGGAUUGCAGGCUGCAACUCGCCUGCAUGAAGUCGGAAUCGCUAGUAAUCGUGGAUCAGCAUGUCACGGUGAAUACGUUCCCGGGUCUUGUACACACCGCCCGUCACACCAUGGGAGCGGGUUCCGCCAGAAGUAGGUAGCCUAACCGCAAGGGGGGCGCUUACCACGGCGGGGUUCGUGACUG
rnacentral:rRNA from 1 species